rnacentral:rRNA from 1 species
UGAGCAAUCUGCCCUUCACAUCGGAAUAACCAUUGGAAACAAUGGCUAAUACCGAAUAUGACUUCGGAUCGCAUGAUCUGAAGUGGAAAGCUCCGGCGGUGAAGGAUGAGCUCGCGGCCUAUCAGCUUGUUGGUGUGGGUAAUGGCCCACCAAGGCGACGACGGGUAGCCGGCCUGAGAGGGUGACCGGCCACACGUGGGACUGGAGACACCGGCCCAGACUCCGUAACGGGG